rnacentral:rRNA from 1 species
GAUGAACGCUGGCGGCGUGCCUAAUACAUGCAAGUCGAGCGAACAGAUAAGGAGCUUGCUCCUUUGACGUUAGCGGCGGACGGGUGAGUAACACGUGGAUAACCUACCUAUAAGACUGGGAUAACUUCGGGAAACCGGAACUAAUACCGGAUAACAUAUUGAACCGCAUGGUUCAAUAGUGAAAGGCGGCUUUGCUGUCACUUAUAGAUGGAUCCGCGCCGUAUUAGCUAGUUGGUAAGGUAACGGCUUACCAAGGCAACGAUACGUAGCCGACCUGAGAGGGUGAUCGGCCACACUGGAACUGAGACACGGUCCAGACUCCUACGGGAGGCAGCAGUAGGGAAUCUUCCGCAAUGGGCGAAAGCCUGACGGAGCAACGCCGCGUGAGUGAUGAAGGUCUUCGGAUCGUAAAACUCUGUUAUCAGGGAAGAACAAAUGUGUAAGUAACUGUGCACAUCUUGACGGUACCUGAUCAGAAAGCCACGGCUAACUACGUG